rnacentral:lncRNA from 12 species
GCUGCAGCACCUAUAAAAGCUCUGGAGAGAGGGGAUGAGCUGUUGGAGGGGUGCUGGGGUUCCCCUUGUCUGUGUCUGUGGGUGACAGCCCAGCCCAGCCCGGGGGUCCCAGGAAGGGUGUGUGUCCACAGCCACCCUGUCAGAUGCAGGAUUGAAUCCCAUAACCUGCGUUGUGCUGCCGUGGGAAUUCUGCCUGCAUCCAUCCCUGCUCCUGCCUGUGUCCUGUCUGCAUCUCAGCCUGCUCCUGCAGCCCACGAGUGCCAGAUCUUCUGGACUGACUUCAUUGAAUUCAUUAGUGGGUUCUUAGGCCAGGAGGAGGGAAGGUCCUGCCUGAGCCCCAGGCCCGUCACUGAAGUGAGUGUGCUUCCCCUGCCACGAUGCCUUGGGGCCCUUUGGGAAGGUACAAGGGACAUUUUAAGAAGUUCUGGGGACGUUUUUGCCCUUACCUCUCUUGCAGAAGGCGGGCAGCACCACUUGCGGCUCUCAGCGUCUUUAUCUCAGCGCACCAAUUUAGCUUUUCCCGAACUCAGUCCUGCAGGAGCACCUCGCUGCUUCUCCCUCCAUGGAUAUAUUUAGGGAACGCUGAGACCUGUGGUGGAUUUUAAUGGGAGUGGAGGGCACAGAGCUCCUGAAAUACCUUGGCAUCACCACCCAGAAAUGUUGAGCACACCCAGAGCUGAAGGGGCAAGGGAGUGAGCAGG